rnacentral:rRNA from 1 species
AAAUUGAAGAGUUUGAUCAUGGCUCAGAUUGAACGCUGGCGGCAGGCCUAACACAUGCAAGUCGAACGGUAACAGGAAACAGCUUGCUGUUUCGCUGACGAGUGGCGGACGGGUGAGUAAUGUCUGGGAAACUGCCUGAUGGAGGGGGAUAACUACUGGAAACGGUAGCUAAUACCGCAUAACGUCGCAAGACCAAAGAGGGGGACCUUCGGGCCUCUUGCCAUCGGAUGUGCCCAGAUGGGAUUAGCUUGUUGGUGGGGUAACGGCUCACCAAGGCGACGAUCCCUAGCUGGUCUGAGAGGAUGACCAGCCACACUGGAACUGAGACACGGUCCAGACUCCUACGGGAGGCAGCAGUGGGGAAUAUUGCACAAUGGGCGCAAGCCUGAUGCAGCCAUGCCGCGUGUAUGAAGAAGGCCUUCGGGUUGUAAAGUACUUUCAGCGGGGAGGAAGGGAGUAAAGUUAAUACCUUUACUCAUUGACGUUACCCGCAGAAGAAGCACCGGCUAACUCCGUGCCAGCAGCCGCGGUAAUACGGAGGGUGCAAGCGUUAAUCGGAAUUACUGGGCGUAAAGCGCACGCAGGCGGUUUGUUAAGUCAGAUGUGAAAUCCCCGGGCUCAACCUGGGAACUGCAUCUGAUACUGGCAAGCUUGAGUCUCGUAGAGGGGGGUAGAAUUCCAGGUGUAGCGGUGAAAUGCGUAGAGAUCUGGAGGAAUACCGGUGGCGAAGGCGGCCCCCUGGACGAAGACUGACGCUCAGGUGCGAAAGCGUGGGGAGCAAACAGGAUUAGAUACCCUGGUAGUCCACGCCGUAAACGAUGUCGACUUGGAGGUUGUGCCCUUGAGGCGUGGCUUCCGGAGCUAACGCGUUAAGUCGACCGCCUGGGGAGUACGGCCGCAAGGUUAAAACUCAAAUGAAUUGACGGGGGCCCGCACAAGCGGUGGAGCAUGUGGUUUAAUUCGAUGCAACGCGAAGAACCUUACCUGGUCUUGACAUCCACAGAACUUUCCAGAGAUGGAUUGGUGCCUUCGGGAACUGUGAGACAGGUGCUGCAUGGCUGUCGUCAGCUCGUGUUGUGAAAUGUUGGGUUAAGUCCCGCAACGAGCGCAACCCUUAUCCUUUGUUGCCAGCGGUCCGGCCGGGAACUCAAAGGAGACUGCCAGUGAUAAACUGGAGGAAGGUGGGGAUGACGUCAAGUCAUCAUGGCCCUUACGACCAGGGCUACACACGUGCUACAAUGGCGCAUACAAAGAGAAGCGACCUCGCGAGAGCAAGCGGACCUCAUAAAGUGCGUCGUAGUCCGGAUUGGAGUCUGCAACUCGACUCCAUGAAGUCGGAAUCGCUAGUAAUCGUGGAUCAGAAUGCCACGGUGAAUACGUUCCCGGGCCUUGUACACACCGCCCGUCACACCAUGGGAGUGGGUUGCAAAAGAAGUAGGUAGCUUAACCUUCGGGAGGGCGCUUACCACUUUGUGAUUCAUGACUGGGGUGAAGUCGUAACAAGGUAACCGUAGGGGAACCUGCGGUUGGAUCACCUCCUUA